rnacentral:rRNA from 1 species
GACGAACGCUGGCGGCGUGCCUAAUACAUGCAAGUUGAGCGCUGAAGGUUGGUACUUGUACCCACUGGAUGAGCAGCGAACGGGUGAGUAACGCGUGGGGAAUCUGCCUUUGAGCGGGGGACAACAUUUGGAAACGAAUGCUAAUACCGCAUAAAAACUUUAAACACAAGUUUUAAGUUUGAAAGAUGCAAUUGCAUCACUCAAAGAUGAUCCCGCGUUGUAUUAGCUAGUUGGUGAGGUAAAGGCUCACCAAGGCGAUGAUACAUAGCCGACCUGAGAGGGUGAUCGGCCACAUUGGGACUGAGACACGGCCCAAACUCCUACGGGAGGCAGCAGUAGGGAAUCUUCGGCCAUGGACGAAAGUCUGACCGAGCAACGCCGCGUGAGUGAAGAAGGUUUUCGGAUCGUAAAACUCUGUUGGUAGAGAAGAACGUUGGUGAGAGUGGAAAGCUCAUCAAGUGACGGUAACUACCCAGAAAGGGACGGCUAACUACGUG